UUGAACGCUGGCGGCAUGCCUUACACAUGCAAGUCGAACGGCAGCACGGGAGCAAUCCUGGUGGCGAGUGGCGAACGGGUGAGUAAUAUAUCGGAACGUGCCCGGUCGUGGGGGAUAACGUAGCGAAAGCUACGCUAAUACCGCAUACGAUCUACGGAUGAAAGCGGGGGAUCGCAAGACCUCGCGCGAUUGGAGCGGCCGAUAUCAGAUUAGGUAGUUGGUGAGGUAAAGGCUCACCAAGCCGACGAUCUGUAGCUGGUCUGAGAGGACGACCAGCCACACUGGGACUGAGACACGGCCCAGACUCCUACGGGAGGCAGCAGUGGGAAUUUGGACAAUGGGCGCAAGCCUGAUCCAGCAAUGCCGCGUGCAGGAUGAAGGCCUCGGGUUGUAACUGCUUUGUACGGAACGAAACGGUGAGCUCUAAUACAGUUUGCUAAUGACGGUACCGUAAGAAUAAGCACCGGCUAACUACGUG
rnacentral:rRNA from 1 species